GAAAACUAUAAGCGCAAGCUCAAAACUCAAAGGAUUUGGCGGCAUUUUAAAUCCUCCUAGAGGAGCCUGUCCUAUAAUCGACAAUACCCGCUAAACCUCACCUUCUUUAGCCUUCAGCCUAUAUACCGCCGUCGCCAGCUUACCCUCCAAGGGUAUCAAAGUAAGCAAGAUCGAUUUAAUCCAAAACGUCAGGUCAAGGUAUAGCUCACGAGAAGGGAAGAGAUGGGCUACAUUUCCUAUACAGGACUAACGGAAUGCCUGUUGAAAAACAGGUUAAAGUAGAAUUUAGCAGUAAGUAAAAAAUAGAGUGUUUUACUGAAGAUGAUCUUAUAUGCGCACAUACCGCCCGUCGCUCUCCCCUAAAUCAAUUAAAUCAUUAACUAAGCUACCACACAACCACGAGGGGGGAAAAGUCGUAACAUGGUAAGUGUACUGGAAAGUGCACUUGGUUAAAU
rnacentral:rRNA from 1 species